rnacentral:lncRNA from 1 species
CCUGAAUGAAAGAAAGCGGGUCGAAUCCCUAGGCGGCUACGUCGACGACGGCUAUCUGAACGGCCAGCUAGCGGUCACCAGAGCGCUGGGUGACUGGCACCUCGACGGCCUGAAGGAGAUAGGCGAGCCGGGAGGCCCGCUGAGCGCAGAACCGGAGCUCAAGAUGAUCACGCUGACCAAGGACGAUGAGUUCCUCAUCAUCGGCAGCGACGGCAUCUGGGACUACUUCUCCAACCAGAACUCGGUGGACUUUGCGCGGCGGAGGCUCCAGGAGCACAACGACCUCCGGCGGUGCUGCAAGGAGAUCGUGGAGGAGGCGAUCCGGCGGGGCGCCACUGACAACCUGACGGCGGUCAUGGUCUCCUUCCACCAGGAGGCCCCUCCCCAGAUCAGGGUGAACAGGGCGGGCAGGGUCGAGCGGAGCAUCUCGGCCGAGGGGCUCCAUAGCCUCAGGGUGCUCCUGGAAGGCCAGUGAUCGAUCUCCGACGGCGCGCCAUUGUCGCCGCCUUCUUCCUCUGCAUUGUUGAGUGUCAACUGUAAGUACCGAUCCGCCGUCGUCGACAUGCCAGUUGUGGCUCCAUUGUUACCUGGGAAUAAAACCAACGAACCUGAAGAAGAUCUCACCCGCCAUUGUGAAUUGUUUGUGAGGCACCUGUAAAUAUAAGUUGGGAGCUUAAUUAGGGUGGUAUAAAAGGGAGUCAGUAGCGUGCAUCCAGGGGGCUUUGAGGCUCAUUAUGAGAUGAUGAGAUGUGUUGUUCCCCCUGUUUAAGUUUUGUCUGUCAAAGAAACCAUUCUCUGGUUAUUGCUAUUGUAUCAG